rnacentral:rRNA from 1 species
GUCUAUGACCAUGAACCCUGAACAAGCCUGAUGUCUGAUCUCAGAAGCUAAGCAGGGUCACGUCUGGUUAGUACUUGGAUGGGAGACCACCUAGGAAGACCAGAUGCUGUAUGCA